rnacentral:rRNA from 1 species
GGCCUAUCAGCUUGUUGGUGGGGUAAUGGCCUACCAAGGCGACGACGGGUAGCCGGCCUGAGAGGGCGACCGGCCACACUGGGACUGAGACACGGCCCAGACUCCUACGGGAGGCAGCAGUGGGGAAUAUUGCACAGUGGGGGAAACCCUGAUGCAGCGACGCAGCGUGCGGGAUGACGGCCUUCGGGUUGUAAACCGCUUUCAGCAGGGAAGAAGCGAAAGUGACGGUACCUGCAGAAGAAGUACCGGCUAACUACGUGCCAGCAGCCGCGGUAAUACGUAGGGUACGAGCGUUGUCCGGAAUUAUUGGGCGUAAAGAGCUCGUAGGUGGUUGGUCACGUCUGCUGUGGAAACGCAACGCUUAACGUUGCGCGUGCAGUGGGUACGGGCUGACUAGAGUGCAGUAGGGGAGUCUGGAAUUCCUGGUGUAGCGGUGAAAUGCGCAGAUAUCAGGAGGAACACCGGUGGCGAAGGCGGGACUCUGGGCUGUAACUGACACUGAGGAGCGAAAGCAUGGGGAGCGAACAGGAUUAGAUACCCUGGUAGUCCAUGCCGUAAACGUUGGGCACUAGGUGUGGGGGACAUUCCACGUUCUCCGCGCCGUAGCUAACGCAUUAAGUGCCCCGCCUGGGGAGUACGG